rnacentral:rRNA from 1 species
UACGUAGGGGGCAAGCGUUGUCCGGAUUUAUUGGGCGUAAAGAGCGUGUAGGCGGCCAGGUAGGUCUGCCGUGAAAACUCGAGGCUCAACCUCGAGAUGUCGGCGGAAACCAUCUGGCUAGAGUCCGGAAGAGGAGAGUGGAAUUCCUGGUGUAGCGGUGAAAUGCGCAGAUAUCAGGAAGAACACCCGUGGCGAAGGCGGCUCUCUGGGACGGUACUGACGCUGAGACGCGAAAGCGUGGGGAGCGAACAGG